rnacentral:rRNA from 1 species
AGAGUUUGAUCAUGGCUCAGAUUGAACGCUGGCGGCAUGCCUUACACAUGCAAGUCGAACGGCAGCAUAGGAGCUUGCUCCUGAUGGCGAGUGGCGAACGGGUGAGUAAUAUAUCGGAACGUGCCCUAGAGUGGGGGAUAACUAGUCGAAAGACUAGCUAAUACCGCAUACGAUCUACGGAUGAAAGUGGGGGAUCGCAAGACCUCAUGCUCCUGGAGCGGCCGAUAUCUGAUUAGCUAGUUGGUGGGGUAAAAGCCUACCAAGGCAACGAUCAGUAGCUGGUCUGAGAGGACGACCAGCCACACUGGGACUGAGACACGGCCCAGACUCCUACGGGAGGCAGCAGUGGGGAAUUUUGGACAAUGGGGGCAACCCUGAUCCAGCAAUGCCGCGUGAGUGAAGAAGGCCUUCGGGUUGUAAAGCUCUUUUGUCAGGGAAGAAACGGUAGUAGCGAAUAACUAUUACUAAUGACGGUACCUGAAGAAUAAGCACCGGCUAACUACGUGCCAGCAGCCGCGGUAAU